CACGUAGGGACCAAGCGUUGUCCGGAUUCAUUGGGCGUAAAGAGCUCGUAGGCGGUUCGAUAAGUCGGGUGUGAAACCUCCAGGCUCAACCUGGAGACGCCACCCGAUACUGUCGUGACUAGAGUCCAGUAGGGGGAGCGUGGAAUUCCUGGUGUAGCGGUGAAAUGCGCAGAUAUCAGGAGGAACACCGGUGGCGAAGGCGGGUCUCUGGGCCGAAAUUGACGCUGAGGAGCGAAAGCGUGGGGAGCAAACAGG
rnacentral:rRNA from 1 species